rnacentral:rRNA from 1 species
UACAGAGGUCUCAAGCGUUGUUCGGAUUCAUUGGGCGUAAAGGGUGCGUAGGUGGCGUGGUAAGUCGGGUGUGAAAUUUCGGAGCCUAACUCCGAAACUGCAUUCGAUACUGCUGUGCUUGAGGACUGGAGAGGAGACUGGAAUUUACGGUGUAGCAGUGAAAUGCGUAGAGAUCGUAAGGAAGACCAGUGGCGUAGGCGGGUCUCUGGACAGUUCCUGACACUGAGGCACGAAGGCCAGGGGAGCAAACGGG